AUUGAACGCUGGCGGCAGGCCUAACACAUGCAAGUCGAGCGGAUGAAGGGGGCUUGCUCCUGGAUUCAGCGGCGGACGGGUGAGUAAUGCCUAGGAAUCUGCCUGGUAGUGGGGGAUAACGUCCGGAAACGGGCGCUAAUACCGCAUACGUCCUGAGGGAGAAAGUGGGGGAUCUUCGGACCUCACGCUAUCAGAUGAGCCUAGGUCGGAUUAGCUAGUUGGUGGGGUAAAGGCCUACCAAGGCGACGAUCCGUAACUGGUCUGAGAGGAUGAUCAGUCACACUGGAAGUGAGACACGGUCCAGACUCCUACGGGAGGCAGCAGUGGGGAAUAUUGGACAAUGGGCGAAAGCCUGAUCCAGCCAUGCCGCGUGUGUGAAGAAGGUCUUCGGAUUGUAAAGCACUUUAAGUUGGGAGGAAGGGCAGUAAGUUAAUACCUUGCUGUUUUGACGUUACCAACAGAAUAAGCACCGGCUAACUACGUG
rnacentral:rRNA from 1 species